GACGAACGCUGGCGGCGUGCUUAACACAUGCAAGUCGAACGGAAAGGCCCUGCUUUUGUGGGGUGCUCGAGUGGCGAACGGGUGAGUAACACGUGAGUAACCUGCCCUUGACUUUGGGAUAACUUCAGGAAACUGGGGCUAAUACCGGGUAGGAGCUCCUGCUGCAUGGUGGGGGUUGGAAAGUUUCGGCGGUUGGGGAUGGACUCGCGGCUUAUCAGCUUGUUGGUGGGGUAGUGGCUUACCAAGGCUUUGACGGGUAGCCGGCCUGAGAGGGUGACCGGCCACAUUGGGACUGAGAUACGGCCCAGACUCCUACGGGAGGCAGCAGUGGGGAAUAUUGCACAAUGGGCGGAAGCCUGAUGCAGCAACGCCGCGUGCGGGAUGACGGCCUUCGGGUUGUAAACCGCUUUCGCCUGUGACGAAGCGUGAGUGACGGUAAUGGGUAAAGAAGCCCCGGCUAACUACGUG
rnacentral:rRNA from 1 species